UGGAAGAUUUGCGGUCAAUAGUAGAUCCAAUAGCGCAGAGCGAAGUAGAACAUGAUGCGUGUUGUUCGAUCAGUCUUUGUUGACUUGUGUCAGAAUUCCAGGGAUAUGUAAGUGGAAGAGAAAUCCUGUUAAUUGGUGUGUGUCGUAGCACAUCUGGCAGGUUCGUCCGUUAUAACAAGCAAAUGGACACUGCUAGUGUGGAAAUGAGAAUCAGGCUGCAGCACAGAAUAGAGUCUCCGUUGGUAGUGUUGGUUGUGCUAGUGGUCUACCUGACUGGACUUGGAAAAUGUCUCAUUGAUAUCGCAGGUAUGUCAGUUAAAAUAACUUAUUUUUUACUUAUAAUAAUUUUUACACAUAUAAGAGAUUUUUACGUUAUAAUAAGCGAC
rnacentral:lncRNA from 1 species